AACGAACGCUGGCGGCAUGCCUAACACAUGCAAGUCGAACGAGACCUUCGGGUCUAGUGUCGCACGGGUUCGUAACGCGUGGGAACCUUCCCUUAUGUUCGGAAUAACUCCCCGAAAGGGGUGCUAAUACCGGAUAAUGUCUUCUGACCAAAGAUUUAUCGCCUUUGGUUGUGCCCGCGUUGGAUUAGCUAUUUGGUAGGGUAAAAGCCUACCAAGGCGACGAUCCAUAGCUGGUCUGAGAGGAUGAUCAGCCACACUGGGACUGAUACACGGCCCAGACUCUUACGGGAGGCAGCAGUGGGGAAUAUUGGAAAAUGGGCGAAAGGAUGAUCCAGCAAUGACGCGUGAGUGAUGAAGGCAUUAGGGUUGUAAAGCUCUUUUAACCGGGAUGAUAAUGACAGUACCGGGAGAAUAAGCUCCGGCUAACUACGUG
rnacentral:rRNA from 1 species